rnacentral:ribozyme from 14 species
AAAAGGCAAUAGAGAGACAAAAAUGAAUAGCUAUCUGAUGGGUACAUUUCCUUUUUAUUAUUAUUGUCAUCCCUGUCUUUAUUUUUUUCGUCGACAUUAUCAUUUUUAUCGUUAUUGUC